UUCAAAUAGUGAGAAAGAAAAAUUGAAAGAGGUCAAGUAUUUUAUACCAUAUCUCUAUUUUUUCUUGUGGCCGAGUAGUUGGUCUUUGUACUUGUGUUUUAUAAACAUACCAUCAAGGGCAAAAAUAAGUCUGCAAUGUAUGAAGCCCUCAACGCAACCUUUAAAUAAGAUGAAUAUUCGUUUAAAACGAUGUUCUGCGUCACACUCUUGUGUAACAUAAGAGCCGUGAUUUGUCUUAACCAACUCAUUAACGUACCACUCCAAAUGUUUAUAUGAUAUCGCCUCAUCACCAUUGACAUUCUUUUUCACUAUCUCUUUAAUUACCUUUCCACAUGUUGUAGUAUGAAAUCUCCAGACUAUAAUUCCUCUUGAAAUCCUUAACAAUGUCGAGAUUUUAUGAGUGGAUUACUUCUGAAGCUAAUUCGUCAAAACCGACGAUACAAUUUUUCGAUCCCAUUAAAGGGUUUUUUCCGUCACAGAUGCGAGCGUAUUGCAAAUGUGUUCAUUGUUUAGUUUAAGAAUGUCAAAAAACACAUUCACAAGAUUACGAGUCGCAUGAAUAUUCCAUAAACAUCCUUCAUUUGUUCUCUUGUGAUAGACAACAAUAACAUGUGAUUGUUCGUUUUUCAAGAAUCCAUAGCGAAAACCCUUUUCAACAACAUGUUUGGCUAGUUUUUCUUUGAAGUCGUCGUCACCACCCUCAAACUUUUGCCCGACAUGUAUAAUUACAUGAUCAAAAGUAAAUAAACUAAAAUGGCGAUUCCCACGAUCAAAAGUAUAUUGUUCAAAGCUUAAAGAUUGAGAAAUGUUUCCACUAUUUUUACCAAGAAAGUUCACUAACGACUUGUUUGCACUUAAAAGAGACAAAUUGUCACGCCCCGACACAGAUUAACUUUCUAAUAUCGAGUUAAGGUGUGAAUCACAUAAGUAAAUUUCUAUAACAAAAAUGUGAUGUUGAAAGAAAAACAACUGUAACUUGAAUACUAGAUAUUAAGAUCUCAAAUCUCCAACGGAAGCAUAAUUACAUAAAAUCAGUUGUACAUAGUACACUAGUACGCAAUCAUUAUUUCAAACAACAUAACAAAAACACAAACGUCACACUCUAAUUAACAUUAUUAUACAAAACAAACUUCUUGCUCAAGUGUCUUGAUUCAGUACCUACAAAAUUUGUUAAGGGGUGAGCUCAACCAACGGCUCAAUAGGGACAUAAAACCUUCUCAUGGGUAAUUGAACACAUAUGGUACUAUCACAUAUUUUAAUUAUAACAUGCAUAUCAAACAAUGAUGCAAUGCAACUCCACAACAAUUUUAUACGACAAGUCUU
rnacentral:lncRNA from 1 species